rnacentral:lncRNA from 10 species
UACCCUUAGUCAACCAAGUUCUGAAACUAUUAUGUCACUACUCUUGUGCUCUGGGGCCAUUAUGACCUAAAAUAAAGGUUACUUGAACACAGCGCUGUGAUACCUCAAUGCUUGAUCAGAGAACCAAGGCAAAGCUACUAAGCGGCUAAUGGCAAUCCAGGCUGAAUGCAGACAGCACCAGGCUCCAUCAUGCUGCUAAGACCGACGCCAUUUAGAACAUAUGCAUGUUUAUUUCUGGAAUUGUUUAUUCAUGUCACAAUGCCUGCAUCAUUCAUCUCAUUUCAUCUCAUCACACGGGCAUCGUAUCAUCUCACAUCAUCACAAGGAGAAGGGGUAGCGCAUCAAAAUUGCAAUUCCAGGCCAGGCGUGAGCCACCGUAAUCCCAGCACUUUGGGAGGCCGAGGCAGGCAGAUCUCCCGAGGUCACGAGUUGGAGAUCAGUCUGGCCAACAUGGUAAAACCCCAUCUCUACUAAAAAUACAAAAAUUAGCCAGGUGCAGUGGCAGGUGCCUGUAAUC